UUUGGGGAGGGGGACACAGGUUGGGGGGGCACUGGGGACCCCCUGGACCCCCCAAAAAGGGGACCCAGGACCCCUGGGUGACCCUGCUGGGGUUUGGGGUCUCCAAGGUGGGAUUUGGGGUCCCCACGGUGUUGUUUGGGUUGCCCCCAGGAGGAUUUGGGGUCCCCCAUGGGGAAUUUGGGGAGGGGGACACAGGUUGGGGGGGGCAGUGGGGACACCCUGGACCCCCCAAAAAGGGGACCCAGGACCCCUGAGUGACCCUGCUGGGGUUUGGGGUCCCCCCCAGGAGGAUUUGGGGUCCCCCAGCAGAGUUUGGGGUCCCCCAGCAGGAUUUGGGGAGGGGGACACAGGUUGGGGGGGCACUGGGGACCCCCUGGACCCCCCAAAAAGGGGACCCAGGACCCCUGGGUGACCCUGGUGGGGUUUGGGGUCCCCCAGCAGGAUUUGGGGAGGGGGACACAGGUUGGGGGGGGCAGUGGGGACCCCCUGGACCCCCCAAAAAGGGGACCCAGGUACCCCUGGGUGACCCUGCUGGGGUUUGGGGUCCCCCAAGCAGGAUUUGGGGAGGGGGACACAGGUUGGGGGGCACUGGGGACACCCUGGACCCCCCAAAAAGGGGACCCAGGACCCCUGAGUGACCCUGCUGGGGUUUGGGGUCCCCCAGCAGGAUUUGGGGUCCCCCAGGAGGAUUUGGGGUCCCCCAGCAGGAUUUGGGGAGGGGGACACAGGUUGGGGGGCACUGGGGACACCCUGGACCCCCCAAAAAGGGGACCCAGGUACCCCUGAGUGACCCUGCUGAGGUUUGGGGUCCCCCAAGGUGGGGUUUGGGGUCCCCCCCAAGCAGGAUUUGGGGUCCCCCCCAAGCAGGAUUUGGGGUCCCCCAGCAGGGUUUGGGGUCCCCCUGUCAGUUUUGGGCUCCCCCAGGCAGUUUUGGGGUCCCCCUGUCAGUUUUGGGGUCCCCUGUCAGUUUUGGGGUCCCCCUGUCAGUUUUGGGGUCCCCAGGCAGGUUUUGGGGUCCCCCCGGAUGUUUUGGGGUCCCCUGGCA